UAAGGAAUAUUGGUCAAUGGAGGCAACUCUGAACCAGCCAUGCCGCGUGCAGGAAGAAGGCCCUAUGGGUCGUAAACUGCUUUUGUACCAGAGAAAACCCGAGUACGUGUACUCGGUUGAUAGUAUGGUAAGAAUAAGCAUCGGCUAACUUCGUGCCAGCAGCCGCGGUAAGACGAAGGAUGCAAGCGUUAUCCGGAUUCAUUGGGUUUAAAGGGUGCGUAGGCGGACUGAUAAGUCAGUGGUGAAAUCUCUCAGCUUAACUGAGAAACUGCCAUUGAUACUGUUAGUCUAGAGUAUAGAUGACGUUGGCGGAAUAUGACAUGUAGUGGUGAAAUACUUAGAUAUGUCAUAGAACACCGAUUGCGAAGGCAGCUAACGAAACUAUAACUGACGCUGAGGCACGAAAGUGCGGGGAUCAAACAGG
rnacentral:rRNA from 1 species